UACGGAGGAUGCGAGCGUUAUCCGGAUUUAUUGGGUUUAAAGGGUGCGUAGGCGGACGCUUAAGUCAGCGGUAAAAUUGCGGGGCUCAACCUCGUCGAGCCGUUGAAACUGGGUGCCUUGAGUGGGCGAGAAGUACGCGGAAUGCGUGGUGUAGCGGUGAAAUGCAUAGAUAUCACGCAGAACUCCGAUUGCGAAGGCAGCGUACCGGCGCCCAACUGACGCUGAAGCACGAAGGGGUGGGUAUCGAACAGG
rnacentral:rRNA from 1 species